rnacentral:rRNA from 1 species
UACAGAGGUCUCAAGCGUUGUUCGGAUUCAUUGGGCGUAAAGGGUGUGUAGGUGGCGAUGUAAGUCGGGUGUGAAAUCCCUCAGCUUAACUGAGGAAGUGCACUCGAUACUGUGUCGCUUGAGUGUUGGAGGGGAUGGCGGAAUUCCCGGUGUAGAGGUGAAAUUCGUAGAUAUCGGGAGGAACACCUGUGGCGAAGGCGGCCAUCUGGACAACUACUGACACUGAGACGCGAAAGCGUGGGUAGCAAACAGG